rnacentral:rRNA from 1 species
GCCCAGUGACAUUAGUUAAACGGCCGCGGUAUCCUGACCGUGCAAAGGUAGCAUAAUCAUUUGUUCCUUAAAUAGGGACUUGUAUGAAUGGCCACACGAGGGCUUUACUGUCUCUUACUUCUGAUCCGUGAAAUUGACCUUCCCGUGAAGAGGCGGGAAUAUGACAAUAAGACGAGAAGACCCUAUGGAGCUUUAAUUAACUGACCCAAAGAGAUCUUGAUAAUCAACCAACAGGGAUAACAAACCUCUACCAUGGGUCGACAAUUUAGGUUGGGGUGACCUCGGAGAAUAAAACAACCUCCGAGUGAUUUAAAUCUAGACUAACCAGUCGAAAAUAUUACAUCACUUAUUGAUCCAAAAACUUGAUCAACGGAACAAGUUACCCUAGGGAUAACAGCGCAAUCCUAUUUUAGAGUCCAUAUCGACAAUAGGGUUUACGACCUCGAUGUUGGAUCAGGACAUCCCGAUGGUGCAGCAGCUA